UAUAGUCGAGUGUUUACUUCUCAUGCAGGGAGAAUAGAGUUAAAAUGAAGUAUUAUGUUUAAUUCAGCACAGGACACGCUCAUUAGUUUUGAGUUAAUAUCAAUUUAAAUACAAACUUUUGAGAAAUCGUGAGGAACUUAAAUUUAGUAAAACUUGCUAAUUUGCAGACGCAAUGAAUUUGAAUCGGAUUUAAAUUAGAUAGCUGGAUUAUAAAGAGUGUUCUUAAAGCUAAAACAUGUACAAAUACUUAUACAGAUGAUAAGGAAUGAGAGAAUAAUCUUAAACGUGUUGUAUUGAAAAGAUCGGGUUGCAUGCUAAAGAAACUAUAUCGAAAUGCGACCAGCCUAGGAUCUGUCAACACGAUACAGCUGUUGCCUCCCUUUGGUUGAUGUUAAACUAAUGAUAAGCAGUAAAAAACAUACAUUAAAGAUGGAUAUAUGCAGACAGCACGGAAACUUCUGAUCUGUAGGUCUCAACGGGCGACCUUUUAGAAGGCCGUCUUUGGUUGUCCUGCAUGAGCCAGAAGCAAAGCGGUAAUAUUGAACACCAUUUAUCGAUCAAUCAAUGCGGCUUCAUGGUUGUCUCUCUUUUCCUGAAUUCGUUGAUGACUCAGAAGAUUGAAGAUGUUCAGAAAAUUCGUCAUACACUGAAGCUCUAAACUUGAGAUCACCUGAGAUACUUCCUGGUAGGAUGUGGUCCGGAGUUGCCAGGAUAUCAGGUAGAUGGCUAGGAACAUGUUGCUUUUUUCAAGAUCAGUCAUUACGAGCAAUCGACUCACACUGAAUCUCUGAAAUUAAGAUCACCUGAGGUACCUCCUGGUAGGAUGUGGUCCUGAGUUCUCUGACAUUUGCAAGAAAAUCAGGCAGAUGGCAAAGCAAUGCAUAUGGACAACAGUUUAAACCCCCUAUUUAAGAUAGAUACGGGCAGACAACAUUGUUUCCCUGAUCUGAUGGUCACAAGGUGCGCUUUUUGGCAUCAUGCGGUCCUGGUUUGCCCGGCAUGAUCCGGCGGAAGCAAAGAUAUUCCUAUACGAACAGAUGACCCGCACUGAAUCCCUGAUAUUGAGGUCAAAAGAAGCAUUUCAUGGCAGGAUGUCGUUCUAUGUUACCCUGCAUUUACCAGAAAUGAAGAUAGAUGGCUAGAUAUACUUAUACGACCCGCGCUGAAUCCAAGAUAUUGAGAUCACAAGAGAUGCAGAUAGAUGGCUAGAUAUGACUUAACGAGCAGAAGACCUACACUCAAUCCCUGAUAUUGAGAUCACAAGAGGCAUUUCAUGGCAGGAUGUUGUUCUAGGAUGUCCGGCAUUCACAAGAAAUGCAGAUAGAUGGCUAGAUAGGUCAGAGCUUGACAUCAUACAGAUACACCUGAAGAGAUAUUGAUAUAUUAUGCCUAAACGAGCAGACGACCCACACUGAAUCCCUGAUAUUGAGGUCAGAAGAGGCCUUUCUAUGGUGCCCUGAAUUCACCAGAAAUGCAGAUAGAUGGGUAGGUAGCGUAUUUAGGUCACAGCAUGUCAUCAUACAGUUACACCUAAAAGUUUAUUCUUAAUGUUACGAAACGUUAAUAUAACUGUUGCUUCAAAUACAUAAAACCCAUCGGUUUUAAAAUUUAAUUUGACACAAGAGGAUAUAAGUCAGAUAUUGGUGUGUAUCCUUUUUCCACGGACAAAUAACUGGCCUUUUUUAAAACAUGCGUAUGAUAUGUUAUUGACUUACUUUAUUAAUCUUGUCAAUAUUUGCUCCUUAGUGUCAUUUAUUAAGAAUUGUAUAUAAUUAAUGAGAUUAAAAAGGAAUCUAAAUAUUUAGAAAAUAUCAUUAACACUUUAACAAAAUUGAAAUAAUGUUCUGACCAAAGCUGUGCUUAUUAUUUUUUCUUCAGUUCAUCUUCACAACUUAGUUAUAUUGUAUUUUCAAAACGUGAUAAAGAAAGCUGGGGUAAGGAAAUGGACAACAUCAAAUUUAGAUUUAAAUAACAGAAAUGUAAAAUAAAAAGACCUGUUAGGACAGAUUCAUGAUUUUCCACCAUCAGAUGUCAUUAAUAUUUGAAUAUGAGGUAUUUUAAAACUUUGUUGUUUAAAAAAACAGUGUCAUUUAAACUUUGAACAUGAUUGAUGUUAACUUAGAUAAUAAGUAUUACUGGGUGCCGGAAAACAUUAAUUAGACAAAUUAAUAUUUACUGUUUUACUUGGUUUAAAUAACUUUUGAGACUGAACUUGUUUUGUUUGUUUUCAUUCAGAUAUACCUAUACGACCAGCACUGAAUCCAAGAUAUUGAAAUCAAAAGAGGCAUUUCACUGCAGGAUGUUGUUCUAUGCUGGCCGGCAUUCACAAGCUACAUGGCUAGUUAGAGGAAUAUAAGCAGAAUUCCCAAACUAAGUCCCGGAUGUGGAGGUCACAUGGGGCUCAUCCUGGCAGGAUAUAGUAAUUAGAUGUCCGGCGAAGACAAGACUAACAUGUCGAUAGCUAGAUACAUGUGAUGCAUUUUGGCAACGACCAAUUUCAAAAAAGUUGACUUUAAUUUGAAGCUUUUAUUGGCGUAUCAAGUUGACAAUUACAAGAAUAUGUACAUACGAUCAUAAAACAGAGUGAUGCAUUUAACAUGUGUGUCGAUUCAUUACUUUAUAUGUUACAUCUGCCCAUGGAUGAAAAGCUGAUUAAUCGCAUUUAAAGCAAUUGCAAAUAAAAGAGUGUGUUCCAUUUUUCUCUGGUCUCAAUUCAGUCAUUAGCAAUACAUGUAUAACUUUGUUUAUAUGGAAAAUCAUGUGUUUUAGGUAUA